AUUGAACGCUGGCGGCAGGCCUAACACAUGCAAGUCGAACGAGUGGCGGACGGGUGAGUAAUGUCUGGGAAACUGCCUGAUGGAGGGGGAUAACUACUGGAAACGGUAGCUAAUACCGCAUACCAUCAGAUGUGCCCAGUUGUGAUUAGCUAGUAGGUGGGGUAACGGCUCACCUAGGCGACGAUCCCUAGCUGGUCUGAGAGGUUGACCAGCAACACUGGAACGGAGAUACGGCCCAGAAUCCUACGGGAGGCAGCAGAGGGGAAUAUUGCACAAUGGGCGCAAGCCUGAUGCAGCCAUGCCGCGUGUAUGAAGAAGGCUUUCGGGUUGUAAAGUCCUUUCAGCGGGGAGGCGUUACCCGCAGAAGAAGCACCGGCUAACUCCGUGCCAGCCGCCGCGGUAAUAC
rnacentral:rRNA from 1 species